rnacentral:rRNA from 1 species
GACAGAGGAUGCAAGCGUUAUCCGGAAUGAUUGGGCGUAAAGCGCAUGUAGGUGGCCUUGUAAGUCAGCGAUUAAAGACCGACGCCUAACGUCGGAAUCGUUGCUGAUACUGUAAGGCUAGAGGAAAGCAGGGGUAUGCGGAACUUUGAGUGUAGGAGUGAAAAUCCGUAGAUAUUUCAAAGGAACACCAAUGGCGAAGGCAGCAUACUGGGCUUUUUCUGACACUGAGAUGCGAAAGCGUGGGGGAGCGAACGGG